GCCUAGGAAUCUGCCUGGUAGUGGGGGAUAACGUCCGGAAACGGGCGCUAAUACCGCAUACGUCCUGAGGGAGAAAGUGGGGGAUCUUCGGACCUCACGCUAUCAGAUGAGCCUAGGUCGGAUUAGCUAGUUGGUGGGGUAAAGGCCUACCAAGGCGACGAUCCGUAACUGGUCUGAGAGGAUGAUCAGUCACACUGGAACUGAGACACGGUCCAGACUCCUACGGGAGGCAGCAGUGGGGAAUAUUGGACAAUGGGCGAAAGCCUGAUCCAGCCAUGCCGCGUGUGUGAAGAAGGUCUUCGGAUUGUAAAGCACUUUAAGUUGGGAGGAAGGGCAGUAAGUUAAUACCUUGCUGUUUUGACGUUACCAACAGAAUAAGCACCGGCUAACUUCGUGCCAGCAGCCGCGGUAAUACGAAGGGUGCAAGCGUUAAUCGGAAUUACUGGGCGUAAAGCGCGCGUAGGUGGUUCAGCAAGUUGGAUGUGAAAUCCCCGGGCUCAACCUGGGAACUGCAUCCAAAACUACUGAGCUAGAGUACGGUAGAGGGUGGUGGAAUUUCCUGUGUAGCGGUGAAAUGCGUAGAUAUAGGAAGGAACACCAGUGGCGAAGGCGACCACCUGGACUGAUACUGACACUGAGGUGCGAAAGCGUGGGGGAGCAAACAGGAUUAGAUACCCUGGUAGUCCACGCCGUAAACGA
rnacentral:rRNA from 1 species